rnacentral:tRNA from 1 species
AAAGGCUUAGUUAAAUUUAUAACAUUAGAAUGUCAAACUAAAAUUAUUUUUCGAAUAGCCUUUU